rnacentral:rRNA from 1 species
UACGAAGGUCCCAAGCGUUAUCCGGAUUUAUUGGGUUUAAAGGGUGCGUAGGUGGGUUGGUAAGUCAGUGGUGAAAUCUCCGUGCUUAACAUGGAAACUGCCAUUGAUACUACUGAUCUUGAAUUUUCAGGAGGUAAGCGGAAUAUGUCAUGUAGCGGUGAAAUGCUUAGAUAUCGGAAGGAACAUCAGUGGCGAAAGCGGCUUCCUGGUCCAGCACCGACGUUCAGGCACGAAAGCGUGGGGAGCAAACAGG